CCGAAUGCCGGUAAGUGAGAGCGCGGCAGUGAGACUGCGGGGGAUAAGCUUCGUAGUCGAGAGGGAAACAGCCCAGAUCACCAGCUAAGGCCCCUAAGC
rnacentral:rRNA from 1 species